GUGAAGAGCUGUGGAAGCCAAGCUGAAAAACCUGGGGCACAGCUGGGGAACCAUUGAAAGACUUGCCAGAAACAGACAGGAGUGGAGGAGCUUCGUCACUGCCCUAAACGCCGGAGUCGUAAUAGGGACAUGAUGAUGAUGAGAUGGAGAAUCCACCACGACCGCUGGUGAACAGCCGAGGCUGGGUCCAUCAUAUCUUUGAUCUGGCUUGUCCUUUAAGGUUUUAGCAUCCACUUCUGUAAUGGCGGCAGAACUGGACAUUAUAGGAUGGGAUUUUACCACUGAUUCCAAUGGAAGCAGAGUUAGAGCAGUGCUGAGAGAGUUUGAAAAUUCCACACGGAACAUACCAGCCCAUGCUGAUGUACACCACUGCCCUCUAUUGAAUGGAACCAGAACUGCUCAGCUGUGUGCCAGAAGCUGCUGUGAAGAUUGUCCCUUAAUUUAAGUAGGAGAAGGCCUGUGUUUUAUAAAGCAGAAAGAUCUAAGUCUUGACUGGCCAGAAAGUGACCGUGGAGUCUUAAGUGGCUAUAAAUCUGUUACAAAAUAUACAAAUAAAUGUUAGACAUAGGGGGAGGAAGGUAAUUUAAGUGAGAAAACCGAACCCCAUAGAACCUAUGGGCAGCAGAAAGAAGAUAAUGUUGGUGCUCAAGUGAUACUAUCACAGAUGCACUAUGCAAGCAUUAAUUAACUUUCAAAAGAGGCCAAAGGAAGUUUCCACGCUUUGAUAAAACAGCCAUUUCAUAAUGUAUAAA